rnacentral:lncRNA from 1 species
GACAGUGUUCGAUGUUGUUGCAUGGCUAGCUUAAUUGGUUUUGAAAAUUUUGAUGGGAAAGUAAAUGAUGAAAAGUGGUUAACGGCUAUAGAAAUGUAGGGUGGUUUGGAAAGUGAAGUAAGGAAAAAGGUUGUUUGGGGAGAAUAGGGAAGUGAGGAGUAAAAGGGGCAACACAGAAAGAAUAGUGAGGUUGCAUAUAGAUAGAUAAUAGAUUGUAG